rnacentral:rRNA from 1 species
UACAGAGGGUGCGAGCGUUAAUCGGAUUUACUGGGCGUAAAGGGCGCGUAGGCGGUUAUACAAGUGUGAUGUGAAAGCCCUGGGCUUAACCUAGGAAGCGCAUCGCAAACUGUAUAGCUGGAGUAUAUGAGAGGGUGGCGGAAUUUCCGGUGUAGCGGUGAAAUGCGUAGAGAUCGGAAGGAACGUCAAUGGCGAAGGCAGCCACCUGGCAUAAUACUGACGCUGAGGCGCGAAAGCGUGGGGAGCGAACAGG